UGGGGAAUAUUGCGCAAUGGGGGAAACCCUGACGCAGCAACGCCGCGUGAAGGAUGAAGGUUUUCGGAUUGUAAACUUCUUUGAUGGGGGACGAAUUAAUGACGGUACCCCAAAAACAAGCCACGGCUAACUACGUGCCAGCAGCCGCGGUAAUACGUAGGUGGCGAGCGUUGUCCGGAAUUACUGGGUGUAAAGGGCGUGUAGGCGGGAAUACAAGUCAGAUGUGAAAUACCGAGGCUUAACUUCGGGGCUGCAUCUGAAACUGUGUUUCUUGAGUGUCGGAGAGGAAAGUGGAAUUCCCAGUGUAGCGGUGAAAUGCGUAGAUAUUGGGAGGAACACCAGUGGCGAAGGCGACUUACUGGACUGUAACUGACACUGAGGCUCGAAAGCGUGGGGAGCAAACAGG
rnacentral:rRNA from 2 species